rnacentral:lncRNA from 1 species
CAAGGACCAAUGAGACAAGAAAUCUCAUUUUAGUACAAUAUCUUAAAAUCAAGUAUACUAUUUCAGAUUCCUCUCACAAGAAAGAUUUGUUGCUUAUGAUUUGGUUCAUAAUAACAUUGACAGAAAACAGGUCUUAGUAUGUGUCUCUAGUAUGAGUAUAUGAAAGCCUCUUUACAAGUAGACAUAUGAAUAAAUUGUCUGUGUGACUCUGUAUCACCUAAAAUUUGAAAAUACAUUACAUGUGACAUUGUUCUGUAAACAGUUGAAAGAAUUAUUUUCAGCACUAACAGAAAUGAGAGAUCAUCAUUUGCAGCUGAAAUGAACAUUAGAUCUGUUUGGCUGUGGUCGUAGAAGUCAGCAGCAGGCCUAGGAAUGAGACACUAAUUAAAAAAAAAUCAAGGCUGAACAAUUAACAUGGUCAAACACUAAGCCCCCUCACCUACAGUAAUCCUCUUCUCUGAAUGUUUUAAACUGAUUUUUUUAUUCAUGGAAAGGAUUCCUGUGUGCAUUUUUAUGAAUUUAGAGUGCAUUUUCAUGAUGCAAUUUUAAAUGAUAUUAUUAAAUUUUUUUAAAGCAUUAAUAUUUCCAGAAACAUAAUUUAAAGUCCCUUCUAUUCACAUCUUCUUGUACAUAGUUGUUAUUUCUCACGGAUGAUCAAGAAUCUUCUGUAAUGAAAUACUUUGGAGCCAUUUGGGAUGGCUAUAUUUGCCCUAUUGAGUAAAAAUUAUUGUAAGCAAUAUUGUUUAUAGUUUUAAAUUAAAUUAGCCACGUACCACACUGCAGACUUGCUGAGAAAAGACCUACUAUCUAUCUCUUCUAUUUAGUACAAUAGCUUCUAGCUAAUUAUAUCUGUUGAGUGUUUGCAAGUGACUGGUGUGAAUGAAGAGUUGUUUUAUUUGAAUUAUUUUUAAGGAAUUGUUUUGCUUGUAUUAUUUUUGAGGAAUUGUUUUACUUGUAUUAUUUAGUAUUAAUAAGUUGCAAUGGUCACCUUUUGCUAUGUUUGUAGUUACAUUAGGUAGAUAAAGUAGAACUCUUUUUUUUUUCUUUAAAGUGUGGUUAGUAAAAUUCUGUAUGUAGAAGAUGUAUAAUAUUAACAUAAGCCUGAAACUCACAAAAAAAGUUUUAUCCCUACAGGUAGGACAUGCCUCAAGGACACAUUCUUUCCCCAUGCUCAUUUCAUUAGAAUAUUGGAGCAAUAAUGAAAUAGUAAUGGAAGCAGACACUUGUUCAGCAAGCAUUUCUUUCAUAUUAAUAUGCUGUGCAUACACAAUCACACAUUCAUCCUAGGAGAACAACAAGAAGUCUGAAAGACACUAAAUCCACUGACUGAAGUCUCUGGCCAUUUUACUUCUAGGUCUGGCUAUUUAGUGAUUGAUGGGUUCAUGGUUUUAAAUUAAAUAUUCAAUGUGAUUUUGAUGAUGGAUGGUUGGGACUACUUCCUUAGGCAGCCAUACAUUUCCAGUGUUCUAAAAAUAAGUGUUAAGGACUGUCCCCCCUCAAAGUUUUCCGUGGCAAAGAUUUAGGCUCAUACAUUUCCUCUAGUUUCUUCUUUAAUAAGUUCCAGACAAAAUGCUUUAGAACAAUUUAAGAAAUAAUUCUUUCAAAGACCAAUUUUGGUAAAACUACAACCAAAUUUUGAAGUAAUUUUCUCUCGCUCAUGCAUAUAAAUAAUAAUUGAUCAGAAAUAUUUGAAAGUAUAGCUCUUACUCUAUCUACUGUACAUAUAGCGCCCAUAAGUGUGUUAAGAAUAUAUUUGUGUUUACUGGUUAAUUGGGAAAAUCUGUCAUUUAACCUUAUAUUUUGUUGCUUUGUAGUCUGGUAAAAGUACCACAGGGCAAUCUAUUCCAGAGACCUUAGAAGUCACAUAGGUUGUCCCUCGCUGCAGAAGAGUUCUCAGGCUUGCUUUUCUCCCAACCUCCUUCCUUCCCCCAAUUACUUUUGCAUGUGGCAGGUGCCUGAAUUAGGUUUGCACUGUUUCUUUAAAGUCUGUUUGGCUGUGGUGGUAGAAAUCAGCAGCAGGCCUAGGAAUGAGACACU